rnacentral:misc_RNA from 1 species
UCAAACUUGGUCAUUUAGAGGAAGUACAAGUCGUAACAAGGUAUCCGUAGGUGAACCUGCGGAUGGAUCAUUACCGAGUGAUUUUGUUUGUAAUGUGAAUUGUUGAUUGUUUGGUUGGUGGGUUUUGUGUGCCUUGGUGUAUUUGAUGCGCUUUGGUAUGUUGAUGUGCUUUGGUAUAUUGAUGUGCUUUGGUAUAUUGAUUUACUUUGGUAUGUUGAUUUACUUUGGUGCUUCUCCGAUGCCCAUACAUCAAAACCACCAGCCUUUGUACGUACACUAUGCAAGCCUGAGUCCAUUCACUGAAUGAUAAAACAACUUUUAGCAAUGGAUCUCUUGGCUCUCGCAUCGAUGAAGAACGCAGC